GCGCACUGCUCAGUAACACGUGGACAACCUGCCCUGAGGACUGGAAUAAUCCCGGGAAACUGGGGGUAAUUCCAGAUAUGUCAGAACUCCUGGAAUGGGUUCUGGCAGAAAGGCUCCGGCGCCUCAGGAUGGGUCUGCGGCCUAUCAGGGUAGUAGUGGGUGUAACGUACCUACUAGCCUACGACGGGUACGGGUUGUGAGAGCAAGAGCCCGGAGAUGGAUUCUGAGAUAUGAAUCCAGGCCCUACGGGGUGCAGCAGGCGCGAAAACUUUACAAUGCGGGCAACCGCGAUAAGGGGACCUCGAGUGCUGGGUUACAAACCUGGCUGUUGGGCUGCCUAAAAAGCAGUCUAUAGCAAGGGCCGGGCAAGACCGGUGCCAGCCGCCGCGGUAACACCGGCGGCUCGAGUGGUAACCGCUAUUAUUGGGUCUAAAGGGUCUGUAGCCGGCCGACUAAGUCUCUUGGGAAAUCUGGCAUCUCAAGUGUCAGGCUGCCAGGGGAUACUGGUCGGCUUGGGACCGGGAGAGGUGAGAGGUACCUCGGGGGUAGGGGUGAAAUCUUGUAAUCCUCGAGGGACCACCAGUGGCGAAGGCGUCUCAC
rnacentral:rRNA from 1 species